GGCUUAGAAGCAGCCACUCAUUAAAAGAGUGCGUAAUAGCUCACUGGUCGAGUGACUCUGCGCGGAAAAUGUAACGGGGCUAAGCAUCUAACCGAAGCUUAGGAUUGUCGUAAGACAGUGGUAGGGGAGCGUUCCAUGUGGGGUGAAGUCGUAGCGGAAGCAGCGGUGGACUGCAUGGAAGUGAGAAUGCCGGAAUGAGUAGCGAGAAUUAUGUGGGAAUCAUAAUGGCCGAAAAUCUAAGGUUUCUUGGGGAAGGUUCGUCCGCCCAAGGUAAGCCGGGAGCUAAGGCGAGGCCGAAAGGCGUAGUCGAUGCACAUACGGUAGAAAUUCCGUAGCCACCGAACUUUAAGUCAGAGGGACACUUUUGGAUAGCGGAACCCGGGCGUUGGUUGACCCGGGCGAAAGGGAGCGAAAAUAUAGUAGCGAAGUCCGCGAUGCUGAGAGGCGAGAAAAGCUCUGAUGGAUACUAAGGUGCCCGUACCGCAAACCGACACAGGUAGAUGAGGAGAGAAUCCUAAGGCCAACGGGAGAAGGGUUGUUAAGGAACUCGGCAAAAUGACCCCGUAACUUCGGGAUAAGGGGAGCCCCCGUGAGGGGGCCGCAGAGAAUAGGCCCAAGCGACUGUUUACCAAAAACACAGGUCUAUGCUAAAUCGAAAGAUGACGUAUAUGGGCUGACGCCUGCCCGGUGCUGGAAGGUUAAGAGGAGGGCUUAGCGCAAGCGAAGGUCUGAAUUGAAGCCCCAGUAAACGGCGGCCGUAACUAUAACGGUCCUAAGGUAGCGAAAUUCCUUGUCAGGUAAGUUCUGACCCGCACGAAAGGCGUAACGAUUUGGGCGCUGUCUCAGCUGUAGACUCGGUGAAGUCUUAGUACCUGUGAAGAUGCAGGUUACCCGCGACUAGACGGAAAGACCCCAUGGAGCUUCACUGCAGGUUGAUAUUGGGAUUUGAUGCAGCAUGUACAGGAUAGGUAGGAGGCAAAGAGAUGGAUACGCCAGUAUUCAAGGAGCCGCUGUUGGGAUACUACCCCUGUUGUAUUGGAUUUCUAACCGGACGACGUAGAGCCGUUGACGGGACAGUGUCAGUCGGGCAGUUUGACUGGGGCGGUCGCCUCCCAAAGAGUAACGGAGGCGCCCAAAGAUACCCUCAGCUUGGAUGGAAACCAAGCGCAGAGUGCAAAGGCAAAAGGGUGUUUGACUGCGAGACCAACAAGUCGAGCAGGGACGAAAGUCGGGCUUAGUGAUCCGGCGGUGCUGAAUGGAAAGGCCGUCGCUCAACGGAUAAAAGCUACCCUGGGGAUAACAGGCUGAUCUCCCCCAA
rnacentral:rRNA from 1 species